GACAGAUAGCAGCAGCGACGGAGGCUCUCUGAAAGACUCGGCUUAGAAUUCAGGAAUGGUGCGGAAUAAGGAGUCAUAAGCAGGUGGAGAUAUGCUCUGCUGACCCAGGAACGAACUGGGCUGAGAGAAACCAACUUGGAAUGCAGUCCUGGUGCUAGAACAGGAACAGAGGGGCCUCAGUAUGGAGGCUGCAGCCCGCGCCAUUGGAAGCCGUGAUUUGGGUUUCCUGCCACACUGCGGCUGCGUCUACAUCGGCUUGGCAGGGAGAGAGAGCCACGGAAGCUCUGAGAAUGGGAAUUGGCGAACGGAGUUGAAAACAGGACGGGCGGGGAGCUGUGCAUUGACUUUCAGUGAGGUUCUCGCUAAGCACUUCAGCCUGGCUUUGAGUUCACUUUGUAGCCCAGACUGGUCUCGAACUUGUGACAAUCCUCCUGCUUCAGCCUCCCAAGUGCUAGGAUUACAGUGUCACUAGUAUAGUCCACUUCUGAUCCAUACCUGCCAAAGCGGCUGACAAAGAGCACAAAGGAAAAGGAGCUGAGCAUUGCACCCAAGGAGAGCAUGACCCCGGAGAGCAACCAAAUGCCUGUGAGCUGCACCUUGCUGGGAGGAUCUUCUACAUUCUGCGGCAAGGUGCUGUUGGUAAACUCUCAUGAUCUGCAAAAUAAAAUCUUUGGUGACAGGACAGACAGUUACAGCUGGACAAGAACCAGAUACCAGGGAUCAUUUUCUCCUGUCAUGCAAAGAUGGGGAUGGAAGAGAUCAGGACAAACUACGAGAGCACAGGGAGAGCAGUUUGGAAGAUUUGUCCUAGAAAGCCCAGCAGGUGGCAGCACUGUGCGCCUGGUCGGCCCAGCUCUCUGCUCACUUUUCUGGACACAGUGGGAAGUCCAGCCACUCUGGGAGAGGAGCCUGCACAGCUCAGUGUGAGCAGAAAUGAGUUUUUUGUUUUCAUUAAGUGACUAAACAUGUUUACCAUCUUAUGCCUCAGAGCAGCCGGCAAGAUACAAAGUGUUAAAUUCUGAUACAUGUUUUUUCAUUUUUGAGACAGUUUCAUCCUGCACUUCAAGCCAGUCUUGAAUCACUUUGCAGUACAGGCUGGUCUCUUACACAAUGAUCCUCCUUCCUCAGCCUCCUGAGUGCUGGGAUUACAUGGGUGCACCACCAUGCCUGGCCUUAAAUUCUGAUUUUUCCCUGAUACCAUCUUGGGAGCAUUAUUACCCCAGUGUUGUAGACAACCUGGAAAGAGCUGAUCGCAGUGACCUUGACAGCAAAGACCAGAGACAGGAGCACCUGAGUGCAGAAUGACAGGGGAAGGAAAGAAGCAGUCCUUAAAACUUUUACUUUUUUAUUUUUUUGGUAUUGAGGACUGAGCUCAGGGCCUUUGCACUGAGUCCCAUCCCUAGCAUUUUUUAACUUUUUGAGGCAGGACUUUGUUAAAUUGUUAAAUUGGCCCACUGGGAUCUUUCUGCCUCUGUUUCUCAGAGUGCUGGGAUUACAGGAGUGUAACCCCCCCGCUAGUCCUUGAAAUUUUCACUGAUGAUUGUCUCCUGUUACUUAUGGAAACAUACUGUAUUAGAAUUUGACCCAUAAGAGGUAUGAAGAGGCAAAAACGUGAUAUUUUUAAAAAUUUGGUGGAAGUUAAAAUAGAACUGUUUUAGAAAUAUUAAAAAAAAAAAAAAAACCUCUACAGUACCAGGUAAAGGCAAGUGUUGUGCUCAAGAACUAGGAAGGCUGAGGAAAAGAUAGCCUUCAGGUCCCUUGAACUUAUUCCUUUUUUUUUUAAUUUUAAAGAAUAAGAGAGAACAAAGCCAAUCGAGACAAUGUAGUGAAACUGGUACAGAACUUCAGAGCAGGAUACCGGGAUAACAGUAAUAGGUACCAUGGAAUAUAUCGUUAUCUUCACAACAGUUGUCCAGUAGUUAGGUAUAGCAAAGUCAAACCAAAAACAGAACAUUAUAAAACCAAUCGAAAGAGAAUAUUGAAUAGAGCAAAACCAUUAAUCAUAAUGAAACAAAACAGUGAAAACAACCUUUGCCUUCAAACAGAAGAUAGAAGGAAAUCCCCCAUAUUGCAUACAGACAUACUCUCAAGAGAUACUCAGACCUCCUGCCCCCAGUUGCUAACGGGCAGUGGGGGAGAGGGAUGGGAUGUUUGAUUCUUAGCCUGCACACUGGUAGGCUCAUGGGAGCCGCUGACUGGUUCUCCUCCUGGCUCAGGUUGGAGCACUUACCAAGAGGGCAGCGCCUUUGAACUUAUUCUUUUCAAACAGGUGAGGAUGCUGAAGUUCUGAACCCCUCGGUCAUAAAAUUGUGGAGGUCACAGAACUGUGGAAGUCCCCCUUGGAGGCAAGUGUAGGGUGGAGCUGUGGGCCAGUUAGCAGGCUCCACCCUUUGUGGAUAUUAUAAAACCUGCCUUUCUCAGACCGUGAUGCUGGGGAGGAACAAGCAGGUGUGGAGACCCUGAGAGGACAUUUUUGCCUGCCCGAAGAGGACAUUUUGCAGGUUUUGUUGACUGAAAGAGGUGGUUCACACAUCACACCUCUAGCUCUUGUCUAAAACGUGCAAAGAACUAGGACCAUGGGGACAUACAGAUAAGAUUGAUGUGGUCACUGGUCAUUGGUGGUCCUUGGGGGACAAUCAAAAGGAAACCUUUAAUGCUGUGUGCUCCAGGGUCCCCAGGCAGCCUUUCUCCAGCCUGUGAGGCUGCUGUCAGUCUCACAGUAUCUGACAGGACCGGAAUCGCCUGAGUUUACUUAACUUUCUUUUUGAAGGAAAGAGUCUGCUCCUCUGGAUUAUUUUGUGUAACAGCAGGGUGCUCAGGCUGCUAUUCAGGGCUCAGAGGGCAGCAGGGGGCUGCCCCCUCAGAGGGCACCCCCACUCUAGAUUUCAAAGACCAGGCUUGGCUUGGGAAGGCAGGUGAGAGUCCAAUCCUCUGUCCCACAGGAAUGAUAACCCUGACCUGUGCAAGUCCCCGGAUCCUGAAGAAAGCCAAUACACAACUUGUCCUUGUGAUUGUGAUUGUGAGUGCAGGACACACUUAUUAGUACUGUGCAUUGUUUGUUGUGUGUGCAGUAUUUGUAGGGGAAAGGCAUUUUCACUAAGAUAAAGUCAUUUGAAAAUAAAGAAAAUUAGGAGAAGGGAUGAAGAAAAAUGGGACAGAAGAGGAAAGGCCCUCAGAGAUGGUAAGUGAUGAGAGAAGAGGUACGUGGUUUGGGUUUUUUUCUGUUUCCAGGGGUUUUGAGGAAGGGUCUCAGUAUGUAGCCCAGGCUGGCCUUGACUCGCAGUGACCCUCCUGCCUCAGGCUCUUGAGUGCUAGUGGUUAUAGGUGUGCACUACCAUGCCCAGAAGAAGCGGUUUUUUAAUAAAGGAAAAAGACCUUGUUGCAAA